UUUGGUACAUUUAACGUAAACAAAAUUAAAAUGGGCCAGCAUAUUAAUUGAAAAAGAAAAAUUAUGCAAAGCCUACAUCAAACCACAUACAUAAAAAAUUGGCCCAGCCACAGUAGUUAUCUUUUGAUGUCAACCGACAACAUUAACAAAAAAAAGAAAACAAUCUUCUUUCAGGCAUCAGUUUGCAAACUAAAAAAAAAAAGAUUUGCUUUAAUGGCGAUUGUAGAGAGUUAUCGAGUCAUGGACGAUCAUGGACGAUCUAAUUCAGCUUCAUCUCCAGGGUAAAUCUUUUCUUUAUUUUCUUCAUCCUUGAUAUAUGGUUGAACACAAAAUAUUUGUUAAGCAAUUUUUUUUUGGUUUUUGCUAUCUUUUGCAUGUGGUUUCAAAUCGAGUUUAAUGUGUACUCCUAAUGAAAUCGAAGCAGAUCUGAGGCAGUCAAAGAAAGAUCAAUCUGAACUCAUUUGUUUUGGUAUUCAUCUUGGAGUUUUGUCACUUGAUAUGCCAUGCUCCAAUUGGAAGAAGGCUUCCUUGUACAUGUUCCAAAUACAUUUAUAAUAUUUACAUCAUUUAGAAUAAUAACUUUUUAAUAAAAAUGUGAAUGAAAAAUUUAGGAUUGCUUACAUUCUCAUCCACCAAGACGAAUUACAUGGUUUCUCCACCUAGUUGAAUGUUUUGUUUCCAAGAAUGUAGAACCUUUGCAUGAACCAUCUUAGU
rnacentral:lncRNA from 1 species